GCGGGGGAGGGCUGGAAGGGAGAGGAAGGGAGUGGUUGGGAGCCGGACUGCCGCAGCCUCUGGUCUCCUCAGCCGCGGAAGCGACCCCUCCUCCUGCGCCUCGGCCGCCUCCCUCCUCGCUGAGGAAAGAUGCCCUUAGCCCAGGGGUGUGAAGAAGGGGGCGAAGUAGCUGCCAGAGCCGCCCGCGCCGCCGCCGCAGCUGCUGCGGCUCUUGUCCUUUGAAUUCAGAGAAGCACCCCCCCUCGCCUGGGGCGUCGGGAGCCUCCGGCGCGGCGGCCGCGGUGUGGGUGUGGGGGAGACGGGGAAUCUCUGCCUGGCGCGGCGCGGCUCGGCCCAGGAGUGACCACCGACAUGGAGCGGGCUCGGGCGGCCAAGUAGCCCCUUCGGAGCCCGGUGCCAGUGCCGCCCGCAGCCCGCCUUCCACCCCCGGCCGCGCCGCCGGUCAGGCCCUGGGGAGAAGCCUGGAGAAAAAUGAGGAGUUUUCACCGGAAUCCGUUGAAAAUAGGACUGACUGCAAAGCCUUAAAAAAGAAGGACCUCGGGAGGAGAAACGAAAAGCGUCCUCCGGGCAAGACUUGGCGUGCUCCGAGCCGAGGGGCUGUUCAGGGACCUCGCCCCCUCCCUUUCCCGCUGGAGAAAUUGCCGCUGAUGCACUAUCCAAGUGGUGGUUGGGAGGAUUUGCAGCAACAUAUUUGGUUUUCCCUCCCCCUUCUAUGCAUUCUGUUUUUUUCUCCCUUUUCUGUUUUUCUUCCCGGGAAGUGAAUUGCUGAUGCAAAUCGGACUUUAUUCAUUAGUGAUGCAACUGGAUUCGUUUCAGGAUUACGUUGCACGAGUUGAAUUUUGAAUGAAGGAGAAGAGUUUUUUUUUUUUUUAAAGAAGUGUUGACUCUAGUUCGUUGUACUUUUAAUUAUUUUAUUUAAAUAUACGACUUAAUUGUAUUCUUUAAAAAAUGCAUUAAGUAUAUAUUUUAUGGUAAUUUACCCUCAAAAUAUAUGUAUAUGGGUGAAAUUGAAGACGCUUCAGUUAAGUGAGGUUACCGGUGUGUUGGAUGUUUAAUUCAGCACCAGCAUUGCAUGACAGUUGUUUGAAUAACAAGUGGUUUAUUUUUAAAACCAUACCUUUUAAAAUUUAGGUUCAGAUAAUAGUAAAAGUCAUCAUAAUAAUUUAAAGGAAAACCAGCAGAAAUCGAAGCAAACAUGUCUGGAGAAGUGCGUUUGAGGCAGUUGGAGCAGUUUAUUUUGGACGGGCCCGCUCAGACCAAUGGGCAGUGCUUCAGUGUGGAGACAUUACUGGAUAUACUUAUCUGUCUUUAUGAUGAAUGCAAUAAUUCUCCAUUGAGAAGAGAGAAGAACAUUCUCGAAUACCUAGAAUGGGCUAAACCAUUUACUUCUAAAGUGAAACAAAUGCGAUUACAUAGAGAAGACUUUGAAAUAUUAAAGGUGAUUGGUCGAGGAGCUUUUGGGGAGGUUGCCGUAGUAAAACUUAAAAAUGCAGAUAAAGUAUUUGCCAUGAAAAUAUUGAAUAAAUGGGAAAUGCUGAAAAGAGCUGAGACAGCAUGUUUUCGUGAAGAAAGGGAUGUAUUAGUGAAUGGAGACAAUAAAUGGAUUACAACCUUGCACUAUGCUUUCCAGGAUGACAAUAACUUAUACCUGGUUAUGGAUUAUUAUGUUGGUGGUGAUUUGCUUACUUUACUCAGCAAAUUUGAAGAUAGAUUGCCUGAAGAUAUGGCUCGAUUUUACUUGGCUGAGAUGGUGAUAGCAAUUGACUCAGUUCAUCAGCUACAUUAUGUACACAGAGACAUUAAACCUGACAAUAUACUGAUGGAUAUGAAUGGACAUAUUCGGUUAGCAGAUUUUGGUUCUUGUCUGAAGCUGAUGGAAGAUGGAACGGUUCAGUCCUCAGUGGCUGUAGGAACCCCAGAUUAUAUCUCUCCUGAAAUCCUUCAAGCCAUGGAAGAUGGAAAAGGCAGAUAUGGACCUGAAUGUGACUGGUGGUCUUUGGGGGUCUGUAUGUAUGAAAUGCUUUAUGGAGAAACACCAUUUUAUGCAGAAUCUCUGGUGGAGACAUACGGAAAAAUCAUGAAUCACAAAGAGAGGUUUCAGUUUCCAGCCCAAGUGACUGAUGUGUCUGAAAAUGCUAAGGAUCUUAUUCGAAGGCUCAUUUGUAGCAGAGAACAUCGACUUGGUCAAAAUGGAAUAGAAGACUUUAAGAAACAUCCAUUUUUCAGUGGAAUUGAUUGGGAUAAUAUUCGGAACUGUGAAGCACCUUAUAUUCCAGAAGUUAGUAGCCCAACAGAUACAUCGAAUUUUGAUGUAGAUGAUGAUUGUUUAAAAAAUUCUGAAACGAUGCCCCCACCAACACACACUGCAUUUUCUGGCCACCAUCUGCCAUUUGUUGGUUUUACAUAUACUAGUAGCUGUGUACUUUCUGAUCGGAGCUGUUUAAGAGUUACAGCUGGUCCCACCUCACUGGAUCUUGAUGUUAAUGUUCAGAGGACUCUAGACAACAACUUAGCAACUGAAGCUUAUGAAAGAAGAAUUAAGCGCCUUGAGCAAGAAAAACUUGAACUCAGUAGAAAACUUCAAGAGUCAACACAGACUGUCCAAGCUCUGCAGUAUUCAACUGUUGAUGGUCCGCUAACAGCAAGCAAAGAUUUAGAAAUAAAAAACUUAAAAGAAGAAAUUGAAAAACUAAGGAAACAAGUAACAGAAUUGAGUCAUUUGGAACAGCAACUUGAAGAAGCUAAUGCUGUGAGGCAAGAACUAGAUGAAGCUUUUAGACAAAUCAAGGCUUAUGAAAAACAAAUCAAAACGUUACAACAAGAAAGAGAAGAUCUAAAUAAGGAACUAGUCCAGGCUAGUGAGCGAUUAAAAAACCAAUCCAAAGAGCUGAAAGACGCACACUGUCAGAGGAAACUGGCCAUGCAGGAAUUCAUGGAGAUCAAUGAGCGGCUAACAGAAUUGCACACCCAAAAACAGAAACUUGCUCGCCAUGUCCGAGAUAAGGAAGAAGAGGUGGACCUGGUGAUGCAAAAAGUUGAAAGCUUAAGGCAAGAACUGCGCAGAACAGAAAGAGCCAAAAAAGAGCUGGAAGUUCAUACAGAAGCUCUAGCUGCUGAAGCAUCUAAAGACAGGAAACUACGUGAACAAAGUGAGCACUAUUCUAAGCAACUGGAAAAUGAAUUGGAGGGACUGAAGCAAAAACAAAUUAGUUACUCACCAGGAAUAUGCAGCAUAGAACAUCAGCAAGAGAUAACCAAACUAAAGACUGAUUUGGAAAAGAAAAGUGUCUUUUAUGAAGAAGAAUUAUCUAAAAGAGAAGGAAUACAUGCAAAUGAAAUAAAAAAUCUUAAGAAAGAACUGCAUGAUUCAGAAGGUCAGCAACUUGCUCUCAACAAAGAAAUUAUGAUUUUAAAAGACAAAUUGGAAAAAACCAGGAGAGAAAGUCAAAGUGAAAGGGAAGAAUUUGAAAGUGAGUUCAAACAACAGUAUGAACGAGAAAAAGUGUUGUUAACUGAAGAAAAUAAAAAGCUGACAAGUGAACUUGAUAAGCUUACUACUUUGUAUGAGAACUUAAGUAUACACAACCAGCAGUUAGAAGAAGAGGUUAAAGAUCUAGCAGACAAGAAAGAAUCAGUUGCACAUUGGGAAGCCCAAAUCACAGAAAUAAUUCAGUGGGUCAGCGAUGAAAAGGAUGCACGAGGGUAUCUUCAGGCCUUAGCUUCUAAAAUGACUGAAGAAUUGGAGGCAUUAAGAAAUUCCAGCUUGGGUACACGAGCAACAGAUAUGCCCUGGAAAAUGCGUCGUUUUGCGAAACUGGAUAUGUCAGCUAGACUGGAGUUGCAGUCAGCUCUGGAUGCAGAAAUAAGAGCCAAACAGGCCAUCCAAGAAGAGUUGAAUAAAGUUAAAGCAUCUAAUAUCAUAACAGAAUGUAAACUAAAAGAUUCAGAGAAGAAGAACUUGGAACUGCUCUCAGAAAUCGAACAACUGAUAAAGGACACUGAAGAGCUUAGAUCUGAAAAGGGUAUAGAGCACCAAGACUCACAGCAUUCUUUCUUGGCAUUUUUGAAUACGCCUUCCGAUGCUCUGGAUCAAUUUGAAGAUUCCUUUUCUUCUUCCUCAUCUUCACUGAUUGAUUUUUUGGAUGACCGCUCUCCAUCCUGUACUCCAGCUAGCAAAGGCAGACGUACUGAUCCCGUUGAGAACACAUAUGUAUGGAACCCGAGCGUCAAGUUUCACAUCCAGUCACGGUCCACAUCUCCUUCCACAUCUAGUGAAGCUGAGCCAGUUAAGACUGUAGACUCCACUCCACUUCCAGUUCACACACCAACCUUAAGGAAAAAAGGAUGUCCUGGUUCAACUGGCUUUCCACUUAAGCGCAAGACUCACCAGUUUUUUGUAAAAUCUUUUACUACUCCUACCAAGUGUCAUCAGUGUACCUCCUUGAUGGUGGGUUUAAUAAGACAGGGCUGUUCAUGUGAAGUAUGUGGAUUCUCAUGCCAUAUAACUUGUGUAAACAAAGCUCCAACCACUUGUCCAGUUCCUCCUGAACAGACAAAAGGUCCCCUGGGUAUAGAUCCUCAGAAAGGAAUAGGAACAGCAUAUGAAGGUCAUGUCAGGAUUCCUAAACCAGCCGGAGUGAAGAAAGGGUGGCAGAGAGCACUGGCUAUAGUGUGUGACUUCAAACUGUUUCUGUACGAUAUUGCUGAAGGAAAAGCAUCUCAGCCCAGUGUUGUCAUUAGUCAAGUGAUUGACAUGAGGGAUGAAGAAUUUUCUGUGAGUUCAGUGUUGGCUUCUGAUGUUAUCCAUGCAAGUCGAAAAGAUAUACCCUGUAUAUUUAGGGUCACAGCUUCCCAGCUCUCAGCAUCUAAUAACAAAUGUUCAAUCCUGAUGCUAGCAGACAGUGAGAAUGAGAAGAGUAAGUGGGUGGGAGUGCUGAGUGAAUUGCACAAGAUUUUGAAGAAAAACAAAUUCAGAGACCGCUCAGUCUAUGUUCCCAAAGAGGCUUAUGACAGCACUCUACCCCUCAUUAAAACAACCCAGGCAGCCGCAAUCAUAGAUCAUGAAAGAAUUGCUUUGGGAAACGAAGAAGGGUUAUUUGUUGUACAUGUCACCAAAGAUGAAAUUAUUCGAGUUGGUGAUAAUAAGAAGAUUCAUCAGAUUGAACUCAUUCCAAAUGAUCAGCUUGUUGCUGUGAUCUCAGGACGAAAUCGUCAUGUACGACUUUUUCCUCUGUCAGCACUGGAUGGGCGAGAGACCGAUUUUUACAAGCUGGCAGAAACUAAAGGGUGUCAAACCAUAACUUCUGGAAAGGUGCGCCAUGGAGCUCUCACAUGCCUGUGUGUGGCUAUGAAAAGGCAGGUCCUCUGUUAUGAACUAUUUCAGAGCAAGACUCGUCACAGAAAAUUUAAGGAAAUUCAAGUCCCAUAUAAUGUCCAGUGGAUGGCAAUCUUCAGUGAACAACUCUGUGUGGGAUUCCAGUCAGGAUUUCUAAGAUACCCUUUGAAUGGAGAAGGAAGUCCAUACAGUAUGCUCCAUUCAAAUGACCAUACACUAUCAUUUAUUGCACAUCAACCAAUGGAUGCUAUCUGCGCAGUUGAGAUCUCCAGUAAAGAAUAUCUGCUGUGUUUUAACAGCAUUGGGAUAUAUACUGACUGCCAGGGCCGAAGAUCUAGACAACAGGAAUUGAUGUGGCCAGCAAAUCCUUCCUCUUGUUGUUACAAUGCACCAUAUCUCUCGGUGUACAGUGAAAAUGCAGUUGAUAUCUUUGAUGUGAACUCCAUGGAAUGGAUUCAGACUCUUCCUCUCAAAAAGGUUCGACCCUUAAACAAUGAAGGAUCAUUAAAUCUUUUAGGGCUGGAGACCAUUAGAUUAAUAUAUUUCAAAAAUAAGAUGGCAGAAGGGGACGAACUGGUAGUUCCUGAAACAUCAGAUAAUAGUCGGAAACAAAUGGUUAGAAAUAUUAACAAUAAGCGGCGUUAUUCCUUCAGAGUCCCAGAAGAGGAAAGGAUGCAGCAGAGGAGGGAAAUGCUACGAGAUCCAGAAAUGAGAAAUAAAUUAAUUUCUAAUCCAACUAAUUUUAACCACAUAGCACACAUGGGUCCUGGAGAUGGAAUACAGAUCCUUAAAGAUCUGCCCAUGCCAGGUUUCCCUUAUCCAUCCCCUCAUCAUCACUCCGGUCUGAUCUCCUCUCCGAUCAACUUUGAACACAUCUAUCACAUGACUGUUAAUUCUGCUGAAAAAUUUCUCUCUCCUGAUUCCAUAAACCCUGAAUAUUCCCCGUCUCUACGCUCUGUCCCUGAACCCUCGGCCUCAGGAAAGUCGGACAGUAUUCAGUGGCUCAGUCAGUAUUCCAUCUAUCACCAAAUCCCGCCCUGAGCCAGGCCGCUCCAUGAGUGCUAGCAGUGGCCUGUCAGCAAGGUCAUCCGCACAGAAUGGCAGCGCAUUAAAGAGGGAAUUCUCUGGAGGAAGCUACAAUGCCAAGCGGCAGCCCAUGCCCUCCCCAUCAGAGGGCUCUUUGUCCUCCGGAGGCAUGGACCAAGGAAGUGAUGCCCCGGCGAGGGACUUUGACGGAGAGGACUCUGACUCUCCGAGGCAUUCCACAGCUUCCAACAGUUCCAACCUAAGCAGCCCCCCAAGCCCAGUUUCACCCCGAAAGACCAAGAGCCUCUCCCUGGAGAGCACUGACCGCGGGAGCUGGGACCCAUGAGCUGCCUCAGCACUGAGACUUCUCGCUCUCCGCUCCCUGCCACUCGCCUCUUCUCACUUUCAUCUUUUCCCUCCACCUCAGCCUGAAAGCCACCAGGGGCUGGCAGCAGUAGCAGGACAGGGAUUCAGGAGUUCUGACGACAUGACUCUCAGAUCCACGCCCCUAGCCUAACAGCAACAACAAAGACAGACUUUCCAUAGCAGCUUAGAUUAACGUUGAUUUCAUUCCAUGCACUUAGAGUUGCUUUCAGUAACAUUUUGCCCCUACUCCCAAAGGUAGCUUAAAUAGAUUACACAAAUGUAAGUGAUAAGAAUAAGAUUAGACAGAUUUUGCUUUCACAGUAGAGUCUCAUUAUAGUCCUAAAAUAGCUCAUGGGAUUCUCCGCAUCCAGAAGGGAGAAUCCGUCCCUGGAGUGGCUCACUAAGCUCUUAAUCGGCAACCACAGUGAGUGUCAACCUGAUUGUUGCCAGGAAAUCCUUAUGAAUUAAAACAAUGCAUAUUUUACUACAAUACAGAGUUUAAAUGAAUACAUAAAUGUAGAAGUACUGAAAGUAUAUAUUUAAAAGGAGCCUCUUGUAUUCAACAAAAGAUGGAUGCAUAUAUAAGAGAGAUGAUUUAAUUUAAAAAAUACGUUGUUUCUUGUCUGUUUCCCAGCUAAGUAAUGUAAAGGGUGGAAAGGCCUCAAGCUCACAUUUUUAGAGGCAGAGCGAGAGAAAUCAGAGUUCCCUUUAUUGCCCUGUCCUCAAACUGGUCGUAGGCUCCUGUCACUCGGGGAGCUUUGGAAAACAUUUGCAGAGCCUGGUUUUGCUGGUCUGGAGUGUGCCCUGGCACCAGAGCUUUAACAUCUGAAGCCACUUCAGCAGCAGCAGCAGCAGCAGGCUAACUCAUCUCCACCCGAGGUGUUUCUUUUCCUAGUGGUAGAAUUUGAACACUUCUCACUUUUUAUUGUAUUUUUAUCUUCUGCAGAUAAAUGUAGAAAUAUAUGAUUCUGUCACCUCUGAUCCCUUCCAUCUGAAAGGGUGCAAGGAGUGUUGUAGCUUCUGAAGGUCCAGAAAAUAGUUUCUAAAAAUGCUUUUCUUCCUGGUCUCAUCCUGUCCCUCCCUAAGUUACAGUGAGGUGUCUGUCCCAGGGCUGGAGACGGUUCCCAAGGAGGAGUCUGUUUUGUUGAGGGUGGGCAUGAGCUUCUUCAGAUAAGCCUGGGAAAGGAAGAAAAAAAGGCUUUCAUUACCAAAUAAUGUAAAACCUCAAAAGCAAGGGCUUGAAGAGCCUUAACCAAAUAUUAUUCCCAUAGCCAGUGGAAAAUGGACAAUACAACCCCAGUGCACAGGCCAGAAUGAGCCCAGCACGGGGCUCGGACUGGCCUCCUCUCAGGUGCUGGAUUGUGGGGUUAGUGGCAUUUUCAGCUGGAUUCCUCCUGUUGUAGUUGCCAUAAGGAAAUGAGAUGCAGAAUCAGAAUGAUCUAUUUCUACAGAGUCAUUUCACUAGUUAAGCACAUGAGUAGAGAAAGAGAUAAAAAUAAAAAUAUCUCAUGGAAGGAAAGAGAUUUUGCCUCUCUUUUACUUUUCGCCUAAGUUUCUCUGAGAGAGACAGGAUUCUCUCUUUAAAAUUCAGUGAAAAUGAAGAAAGUUUUCCUGCAGUUGCUAACCUGAGUUGCAGUGUUUAAGGCCAUCAUUUCACUGCUGCUGUCUGUGACUCCACCUCUGUGACACUGGCAGUAGCCCAUGCUGGCCUGUGGCAUGUGCAGGGAGCUGAAGCUGUUUCCAGGUGAUGCUGCUGUGUGGAGAAGGUUCUGAGAUGCAGUGAGGGAAGAAAGGAUCCUGCUAGGGAUUCCAUUGCAAGCACCUAUAAUUGGGAAUUUUCACAUAACAGCUUUGACAUUUAAACAUUCUGAGUUUGGUGCCAGCUCAGAUUUGAUUAUAUUUUGUUUUGGAUGGGUGUAAUUCACAGCACAGUUCUAAUCUCCCAAAUCUUUCUGCUUUUUAGAAUGAAGUAUAAAAAUACUUUUGUCACCUGAAUACCAAGGGUCAGCCCUUUAAUUGGAUCAUUGUCAUAUGACUAGGUAGAUCCUUGUCUUCAGCACUCCACGUGAGAGAAGGGAGUCAGCCAGCCGGCCCCCUGCCUGGUGCUCGUGACCAGCUCGCACCCCUUCUGUUCACCCUGCCCUCCUCUCCUCCCCACUCUCCCCCUCUCCUCCCCACUCUCCCCCACCCUCCCCUCCUCUCCUUCUCACUCUCCCCACCCUCCCCAUCCUCCUCUUCCCUUUCCCCUUGACUUCUCCUCUCUCUCUUCUCUUCUCAGGCAGGGAGGAGGCCAUCCCAAGCUGAGAUUAACAGGAUAAAUGGCUUAUUGACAUAAGCCAUUAGUUUGUAGCUUUGACAAGUAAUUGUGAAUUGUUGUUGCCUAUAGGUGCUUAUUUUCCAAAGGAUGCUUUUAGGAUCAAAAUAUAACCCUACCUAAAGUCUAGGCUCUACUGCAAUGGGUCAUACCCUUCCACCUCCCAACAGGGCAGAUGAGAGAGAACUACUGAGGCUUGUCUUGGUUGCCAGGCUAACUGGGCGGAUUGUCCAUAUUCACUCCAUGGAUUGCACCACGGCGCUCUUUGAUUUUUCCACUGCAAUGGCAAGUCAUCUCAUCAGUCAUAAUAGAGCAGUCCCAAAUGUGUGUAGAUUCUAAAACCUGGGCUUUAGGGGAGAAACACUGCCAGGGGUAAUAGUUUUGGGGAGGGUUUUCCCAAAAUAAUGGUCAUCCUACUGGGUUUAUCCCACCCUUAAAUAUGAAGCCUGUUACCUCCAGAAGCUUCUGAGAAGAAUGAUGUGAAAAGACAAGGAGUGAGUUCAGGGGAAAAAAACAUAAUGACCAUUCAGAGGAGUCAGUAGCAAAGCUCACAGGUAAAGUAUUUUAUUACUAUCUGAAGACAUCCUUUGUUUUCAUUCAGGACAUUUUAAAAAUGUAUAUGGCAGCAGACACUUGUUUCUCAAUAGAAAAAAAUACAUUCAGAGGCAUUUCUGAGAUAGUCUAUCUGUGUUAGUAUUUGGUGCUAUCUAUGUCCAGCCAAGUUAUCUACCCUUGAAUUCUGACUAAUCAUGUUUUGUGCUUUGGGUGUUUAAAAUUACAUACAUAUAUAUUAUUUAUUUUUGCCAAAAACAAAAGUCUUGCUCCUUGUCAAAUUAUUGCUAAAGUAGAUCUUACAUUUUUUGUUAUUACAUAUGUAUUUAUAGACACCCCCAACACACUUAGUGAUUUCUGUUAUUUCCCAGGGAGCACAGCUUUCAGGCUAUGAGAUACAACUAAAACGAGCCCAUCUAUUUGGUUUUCCAGCCAAUUAUUGUGCCCACACUUCAGGGGAGAAUCUGAAAUUCCUGUCAUGUUUACAGCAACAAUCUAUCAUUCCCGGCUGGCUCUCAGCCUCUCCUUCCAUAGGUUAGAAUUAUGUCAUUUUGUUACUUAGUGGCCACAUCUAUUUCUGAGAAAGACUGGUUACAUUUAUGUGGCAUCUCAGGUAUCAUUAAGGAAAAGCCAGAGCAGGGGUGAGCAGACGUCAAAACCACUGACGCAGCAGGGCCAUUUGCCGCCUUUGACCGGGAUCACAACCACUGCAGUCUCCCAGCAGGUAGGCCUUGCCAAGCCUAAGGCUCCCCAUCCAGUCUAGACAGAGGGGCGCUCAGAGCAGACUUUGCCGUAGCCCACAUCCAGUGAGCACAAUAGGAAUGAAUUGGGCACUCCACUCCCCUCUCUCUCUGGCCCAGUCCUGAACUAGAUGAGCUGCAUUUCAUUGAGCCCAUUUUGAAACCUCUUUCCUUAUGACUUUGUUACUCAAGUCCAGAGUUCUCUGUGCACUCCUGCUAGAUAAGGAGUGCGGGCUCCCCCAGCACUGGCAGCACGCUGGGUGCCUCCCUACGCAGGACACCAUGCAGUUCCGGGGGAAGCUGACUCAAAUCAACCUUGAAAUCUCAUGAAAACAAAAUGACUUGCCUUUUUAUUUGAUAGUGUAAUAUCAUUCAUUUUAUAAAUUUUUUAGGGUUUUUCUUGUAAUAUUGUACAGUUUUGCAUGGCCUGGUGUGAUCAUUUUUUGGUUAGAAUAUAAUGCUGACAAAUGUGUAUGGAGGGGGAAAGAUACUGCUUUAGCCUAUCCUUAUUUUAUUUUGUUUGGUUUUAUGCCCUCAAUGUUUUAGGGAACUUUCUAAGAGAUCCUCUGCUACCAAACAAUGAUGUGGAUUCUUUUGCACAGAAAUAUUUAAGGUGGGAUAGUAAAAAAUGUCACAAAAGACUCCUCACCAAUAUUUUAUGUUGAUAUCACUUAAUAUUAACCAGACUUUGCUGUAUUGCAAUAAAACAGAGAACUGUUA